rnacentral:rRNA from 1 species
UACAGAGGUCUCGAGCGUUAGGCGGAAUCACUGGGCUUAAAGCGUGUGUAGGCGGAUCGGUAAGUCCCUUGUGAAAUCCCACAGCUUAACUGUGGAACUGCUUGGUAUACUGCCAGUCUUGAGCCACUUAGGGGCUACCGGAACAAAUGGUGGAGCGGUGAAAUGCGUAGAUAUCAUUUGGAACGCCAAUGGUGAAAACAGGUAGCUGGGAGUGUGCUGACGCUGAGACACGAAAGCGUGGGGAGCGAACAGG